ACUAACGCCGGCGGCGUGCUUCACACAUGCAAGUCGAACGGAAAGGCCCUGCUUUUGUGGGGUGCUCGAGUGGCGAACGGGUGAGUAACACGUGAGUAACCUGCCCUUGACUUUGGGAUAACUUCAGGAAACUGGGGCUAAUACCGGAUAGGAGCUCCUGCUGCCUGGUGGGGGUUGGAAAGUUUCGGCGGUUGGGGAUGGACUCGCGACUUAUCAGCUUGUUGGUGGGGUAGUGGCUUACCAAGGCUUUGACGGGUAGCCGGCCUGAGGGGGUGACCGGCCACAUUGGGACUGAGAUACGGCCCAGACUCCUACGGGAGGCAGCAGUGGGGAAUAUUGCACAAUGGGCGGAAGCCUGAUGCAGCAACGCCGCGUGCGGGAUGACGGCCUUCGGGUUGUAAACCGCUUUCGCCUGUGACGAAGCGUGAGUGACGGUAAUGGGUAAAGAAGCACCGGCUAACUACGUG
rnacentral:rRNA from 1 species